rnacentral:rRNA from 1 species
AACGGGUGAGUAACACGUGAGCUAUCUGCCCUUCACUCGCGGAUAACUACCGGAAACGGUGGCUAAUACGUGAUGCGACCGCUUCCUGCAUGGGAUGGUGGUGGAAAGUUUUGGCGGUGGGGGAUGAGCUCGCGGCCUAUCAGCUUGUUGGUGAGGUAAUGGCUUACCAAGGCUUCGACGGGUAGCCGGCCUGAGAGGGUGACCGGCCACACUGGGACUGAGACACGGCCCAGACUCCUACGGGAGGCAGCAGUGGGGAAUAUUGGACAAUGGGCGAAAGCCUGAUCCAGCAACGCCGCGUGAGGGAUGACGGCCUUCGGGUUGUAAACCUCUUUCAGUACCGACGAAGCGCAAGUGACGGUAGGUACAGAAGAAGCACCGGCCAACUACGUGCCAGCAGCCGCGGUAAUACGUAGGGUGCGAGCGUUGUCCGGAAUUAUUGGGCGUAAAGGGCUCGUAGGCGGUUUGUCACGUCGGGAGUGAAAACUCGGGGCUUAACUCCGAGCCUGCUUCCGAUACGGGCUGACUAGAGGUAUGCAGGGGAGAACGGAAUUCCUGGUGUAGCGGUGAAAUGCGCAGAUAUCAGGAGGAACACCGGUGGCGAAGGCGGUUCUCUGGGCAUUACCUGACGCUGAGGAGCGAAAGUGUGGGGAGCGAACAGGAUUAGAUACCCUGGUAGUCCACACCGUAAACGUUGGGCGCUAGGUGU